rnacentral:ncRNA from 17 species
UGUAGCUCAAUGGAUAGAGCGCCUGUCUCCUAUUUUUAUAUAGUCAACAGGAAGUUGUGGGUUCGAUUCCCGCCU